UGGGGAAUUUUGCACAAUGGAGGGAACUCUGAUGCAGCGACGCCGCGCGAGUGAUGAAGGAACUCGUUUCGUAAAACUCUGUUCUAGGGGAAGAAAAGGACUGUACCAUAGGAGAAAGCUCCGGCUAAAUACGUGCCAGCAGCCGCGGUAAUACGUAUGGAGCGAGCGUUGUCCGGAAUUAUUGGGCGUAAAGGGUGCGCAGGCGGCUUUACAAGUUGGAUGUGAAAUAUUGUGGCUCAACCACAAACGUGCAUCCAAAACUGCAAAGCUUGAGUUAAGGAGAGGUAAGUGGAAUUCCUGGUGUAGCGGUGGAAUACGUAGAUAUCAGGAGGAAUACCGGUGGCGAAGGCGACUUACUGGACUUAAACUGACGCUCAGGCACGAAAGCGUGGGGAGCAAACAGG
rnacentral:rRNA from 1 species